rnacentral:lncRNA from 1 species
UCCGUGUGGCCGUGUGUGUGUGUGUGUGUAACGGACCAAACAUAAUACCUCGCCCGGCUGAAACGCGUUAUUGGUAAUAUAUUGCAUUCUCUAUUGCAAGGUAUCUCGCCUGUAGCCAACAAGCAUCGUAUGGGCACUGCCUUCAUGCUGUACGGCACUGUCUUCCGUGUGUGUUCGGGCUGCAGCACCAGACCGCAAAGCCAACAGGCUGAAGGCUGGCAAGCUGCGAUUGUGUCUGCUGAGCGGACUUGGCGGCCGAGCCCCUGCUGUGUGCCGGUAACGGCACCUCAGGCCCAUACAUUUACG